rnacentral:rRNA from 1 species
GACGAACGCUGGCGGCGUGCCUAAUACAUGCGAGUUGAGCGCUGAAGGUUGGUACUUGUACCAACUGGAUGAGCAGCGAACGGGUGAGUAACGCGUGGGGAAUCUGCCUUUGAGCGGGGGACAACAUUUGGAAACGAAUGCUAAUACCGCAUAAAAACUUUAAACACAAGUUUUAAGUUUGAAAGAUGCAAUUGCAUCACUCAAAGAUGAUCCCGCGUUGUAUUAGCUAGUUGGUGAGGUAAAGGCUCACCAAGGCGAUGAUACAUAGCCGACCUGAGAGGGUGAACGGCCACAUUGGGACUGAGACACGGCCCAAACUCCUACGGGAGGCAGCAGUAGGGAAUCUUCGGCAAUGGACGAAAGUCUGACCGAGCAACGCCGCGUGAGUGAAGAAGGUUUUCGGAUCGUAAAACUCUGUUGGUAGAGAAGAACGUUGGUGAGAGUGGAAAGCUCAUCAAGUGACGGUAACUACCCAGAAAGGGACGGCUAACUACGUG